AAGAGUUUAGUUUAAUUAAAAAUGUUAGAUUGUAAAUCUAAAGUUUGUUACUCUUA
rnacentral:tRNA from 1 species